GGGCACAUGGUGUAGUUGGUUAUCACAUCCGCUUAGCAUUUAGCUAUUGUUUGCGGGGGGUGCUGGGUUCAAUUCCCAGUGUGUCCA